rnacentral:rRNA from 1 species
CCUACGGGAGGCAGCAGUGAGGAAUAUUGGUCAAUGGCCGAGAGGCUGAACCAGCCAAGUCGCGUGAGGGAAGACGGCCCUACGGGUUGUAAACCUCUUUUGUCGGGGAGCAAAGAGAGGCACGUGUGACUCAUUGAGAGUACCCGAAGAAAAAGCAUCGGCUAACUCCGUGCCAGCAGCCGCGGUAAUACGGAGGAUGCGAGCGUUAUCCGGAUUUAGUGGGUUUAAAGGGUGCGCAGGCGGAGGUGCAAGUCAGCGGUCAAAUUGCGGGGCUCAACCCCGGACUGCCGUUGAAACUGCAUCCCUUGAUUGCGCGAGACGUAUGCGGCCUGCGUGGUGUAGCGGUGCACUGCCUCGCUAUCACGCAGAACUCCGAUUGCGAAGGCAGCCUCCCGGCGCGCAACUGACGCUCAUGCAC